UGAGGAAUCUUGCGCAAUGGGGGAAACCCUGACGCAGCCACGCCGCGUGCCGGAAGACGGCCCUAUGGGUUGUAAACGGCUUUUGGGUGGGAAGAAAGGCUGGGUUUCGACCUGGUUUGACGGUACCAUUUGAAUAAGCACCGGCUAACUCCGUGCCAGCGGCCGCGGUAAUACGGAGGGUGCAAGCGUUGUCCGGAAUCAUUGGGUGUAAAGGGUGCGUAGGCGGGCGUCUAAGUCUGGGGUGAAAUCUUACCGCUUAACGGUAAAAUGGCCUCAGAUACUGGGCGUCUUGAGCACGACAGAGGUUGGUGGAAUUCGUAGUGUAGCGGUGAAAUGCAUAGAUAUUACGAAGAACACCGGUGGCGAAAGCGGCCAACUGGGUCGUAGCUGACGCUAAGGCACGAGAGCGUGGGGAGCGAACAGGAUUAGAUACCCCGGUAGUCC
rnacentral:rRNA from 1 species